ensembl:rRNA 5S_rRNA 5S ribosomal RNA
UACCACCCUGAAUGCACCUGAUCUUGUCUGAUCUUGGAAGCUAAGCAGGGUCGGGCCUGGUUAAUAAUUGGAUAGGUUAUACCAUUCUUAAGUAGACC